UGCAGAAGAUGAAAGUGCUAAUAGUUGAGGCUGUAGUCACCAACGUUACUAUUGUGACUGAUUCUCUCCAGCUUUGAUUGGAUUUGUGCAGCCAGAUUUCCUUAUCACUACUAUUAAGCAUUUGAUCUGAUGGUGUUGGAAGAUCAUGGUAUGCCAAUGGAUGACAGUCAAUUUAAUCUAUGAACAGAAAAGCUGGAGUCUCCAGAUGGAGGGUUGAGUUUUCUGGAUUUUGUGGAAAUAUUGGAAGGACACCUAUUCUGCCUUCCAUGAAACAGACAGUAACCGUAACAGUAUCAUCAACAUGCCUGACUUUCAGCUAUUCUUGGAAAGCUUUCUGCUUCAUCUUGGAGAAUAGGAAUUUUUGU
rnacentral:lncRNA from 1 species